ACGGAAGGCAGCAGUGGGGAAUAUUGCACAAUGGGGGAAACCCUGAUGCAGCGACGCCGCGUGAGUGAAGAAGUAUUUCGGUAUGUAAAGCUCUAUCAGCAGGGAAGAAAAUGACGGUACCUGACUAAGAAGCCCCGGCUAACUACGUGCCAGCAGCCGCGGUAAUACGUAGGGGGCAAGCGUUAUCCGGAAUUACUGGGUGUAAAGGGUGCGCAGGCGGCCUAACAAGUCAGCUGUGAAACCCGAGGGCUUAACCCUCGGCUUGCAGUUGAAACUGUAAGGCUAGAGUACAGGAGGGGAAAGCGGAAUUUCUAGUGUAGCGGUGAAAUGCGUAGAUAUUAGGAAGAACACCGGUGGCGAAGGCGGCUUUCUGGACUGUAACUGACGCUCAGGCACGAAAGCGUGGGGAGCAAACAGGAUUAGAUACCCUGGUA
rnacentral:rRNA from 1 species